rnacentral:lncRNA from 1 species
CUUGACAAUGAAGAUGAACUAUCUCGGCAUCCUAGGUAGCGAUUCAGUGAGGUAACAAUGUAGCUGACCUUGAAAGAUGGCACAGACUUUCUGCUGAGGCCUCUCUUACCCGCUGGCCCUUCCCAUCCCAUCCACUGAACUUGCCCUUGUGGAGUUGGAUGAUACCGCUCCCAUGUGGUGUAGAUCCCAGAGAGGUGCAGGUAGAGAUGAUGUUUUUAGAAAAUGAGUCCACAUUCUCAGUAUACUUCAUACAUUUUCCUCAAGCAUCUGCUGCUAUCAAUGUCCACAACAUGUAUCUCUGGCCCUUGAGGAUUUUUUUUGUAAGUUUAAAUGAUUACAUUUUCUUU